rnacentral:rRNA from 1 species
UACGUAGGGAGCGAGCGUUAUCCGGAAUUAUUGGGCGUAAAGGGUGCGUAGAUGGCAUAGUAAGUCUUUUGUAAAAAUGCUGGGCUCAACCCAGUAGGGCAAAAGAUACUGCAAAGCUAGAGUAUGACAGAGGCAAGUGGAACUACAUGUGUAGCGGUAAAAUGCGUAAAUAUAUGUAAGAACACCAGUGGCGAAGGCGGCUUGCUGGGUCGAUACUGACAUUGAGGCACGAAAGCGUGGGGAGCAAACAG